UGAGAAGUGAGGAAACCCUCUGCCUGGC
rnacentral:piRNA from 1 species